rnacentral:rRNA from 1 species
GAUGAACGCUGGCGGCGUGCCUAAUACAUGCAAGUCGAGCGAACAGAUGAGGAGCUUGCUCCUCUGACGUUAGCGGCGGACGGGUGAGUAACACGUGGAUAACCUACUUAUAAGACUGGGAUAACUUCGGGAAACCGGAGCUAAUACCGGAUAAUAUAUUGAACCGCAUGGUUCAAUAGUGAAAGACGGUUUUGCUGUCACUUAUCGAUGGAUCCGCGCCGCAUUAGCUAGUUGGUAAGGUAACGGCUUACCAAGGCAACGAUGCGUAGCCGACCUGAGAGGGGGAUCGGCCACACUGGAACUGAGACACGGUCCAGACUCCUACGGGAGGCAGCAGUAGGGAAUCUUCCGCAAAGGGCGAAAGCCUGACGGAGCAACGCCGCGUGAGUGAUGAAGGUCUUCGGAUCGUAAAACUCUGUUAUUAGGGAAGAACAAAUGUGUAAGUAACUAUGCACGUCUUGACGGUACCUAAUCAGAAAGCCACGGCUAACUACGUG